rnacentral:rRNA from 1 species
AGUGAACGCUGGCGGUAGGCCUAACACAUGCAAGUCGAACGGCAGCACAGUAAGAGCUUGCUCUUACGGGUGGCGAGUGGCGGACGGGUGAGGAGUACAUCGGAAUCUACUUUUUCGUGGGGGAUAACGUAGGGAAACUUACGCUAAUACCGCAUACGACCUACUGGUGAAAGCAGGGGAUCUUCGGACCUUGCGCGAUUGAAUGAGCCGAUGUCGGAUUAGCUAGUUGGCGGGGUAAAGGCCCACCAAGGCGACGAUCCGUAGCUGGUCUGAGAGGAUGAUCAGCCACACUGGAACUGAGACACGGUCCAGACUCCUACGGGAGGCAGCAGUGGGGAAUAUUGGACAAUGGGCGCAAGCCUGAUCCAGCCAUACCGCGUGGGUGAAGAAGGCCUUCGGGUUGUAAAGCCCUUUUGUUGGGAAAGAAAAGCAGCAGGUUAAUACCCCGCUGUUCUGACGGUACCCAAAGAAUAAGCACCGGCUAACUUCGUG